rnacentral:misc_RNA from 1 species
AAGUCGUAACAAGGUUUCCGUAGGUGAACCUGCGGAAGGAUCAUUAACACGUAUCCAACGUUAAACCUCCUGUGAACCAUUGUACGAGUUACAUCCACGUCAUAAACCGGCAAUCUCUGGUAAAUCAUCGCCGAACAGUUUUGAUUCAGAGACCUCUGGGAAGGGUGUACGGUAGUGCGAGGCAAUUGACCUGGCAUUCCUCUGCUUGUAGUGUCUGAAAGUGUCACUAGCGCAGUAACGAUCGCUGGAGCACGGCCGGCGACCAGGUCACUGGGCUACGGCCCCUGAUCACAACCUUUGCAUGAAAACGGGCCUGCGCUGAGGUGCGGCCACCCCUGAUGCUUGAACAACUGUUAACAAUGGAUAUCUUGGUUCUC